CAACCCUCUCUUGCUUUUCCCAUCUCUCACCAGGCAUCAGCAGGUCCCAGAAAGACCCCGACCCCAAAGGCCCUGUGGCCACUGCGGCCACCACAGCCAUGACAGGGGCCCCUACUACUCCUGUCCCCUCCACGUCCACUGCCUGGGCCCCCAUGGCGCCCAGCACCCCACAGCCCACAGGGCAAAGGGAGCCUCUGGAGCUGAGUUUGGACACCGUGGGCUGCUGGGAAUGUGGAGGCUGUGUGUGUAGUGCAAGGCCAGGCCAGGGCCAGACGUCCUGCCCCCUCAGGGGUCUGCCACAGACAAGCAUGGAAACCUGAUUCUCGCUCCCCUCCAAUGGAGGGAUUCACGUGUAUUCAAGGCUGGGGGUGCUGGGGUGGGCCUCUGCUCUCACCUGGACUCACCUGGGGAGUAUCCCUGCACUCUGUGCAGUGCAGGUGCCAGGGAUCUGAAAGGAUUUAUCCUUCCCAGAGGGCACCAGGGAGACGAUGACCAAGGGGAAUUCUUCCUGGUCCCAGCCAGGGAGGGGUGCUCCAAUAGCCUGCCACACCCUGUCCCCCGCCACCCUGCAGGGAGGACCUGGUGGGGACUCCUGGCCCCUUGGGUAGUGCCCUG
rnacentral:lncRNA from 1 species